rnacentral:rRNA from 1 species
UACGUAGGCGGAAAAUUAAGUCAGUAGUGAAAUCCUGCAGCUUAACUGUAGAACUGUUAUUGAUACUGGUUUUCUUGAAUAUAGUUGAGCUAGGCGGAAUGUGUAAUGUAGCGGUGAAAUGCUUAGAUAUUACACAGAACACCGAUUGCGAAGGCAGCUUACUAAGCUAUGAUUGACGCUGAGGUACGAAAGCGUGGGGAGCGAACAGGAUUAGAUACCCUGGUAGUCC